UAUUAUUCUAUAUUUUAUUAAAUUUAAUAUUAUAAAUUAAUAAAAAUAAUUUUUAAAAUUAAAAAAUUUGGCAGUAUUUUAUAAAAUUAGAGGAUUUUGUUUAAUUAUUGAUAAUACACAUUAUAAUUUACUUAUUUUAUAAAAAUUUUGUAUAUCGUUGUCAUAAAAUUAUCUUAAAAUAGAAUUUUUAAUAAAAUUAAUAUAUUUUAAAUGUCAAAUCAAGGUGCAAUUAAUAAAUAAAGUUAAAAUGAAAUACAAUAAAAAUAUUUAAACGGUAAAUUAAUUGAAAAAUUAAUUUUAAGGUGGAUUUAAUAGUAAAUAUUAAUAUUUAUUAUUAUUGAAUUUUAUUUAAAAUGUGUACAUAUUGCCCGUCGCUUUUAUUAAAUUUUAAAAUAA
rnacentral:rRNA from 1 species